rnacentral:rRNA from 1 species
GAUGAACGCUGGCGGCGUGCUUAACACAUGCAAGUCGAACGGUGAAGGAGAGCUUGCUCUUUGGAUCAGUGGCGAACGGGUGAGUAACACGUGAGCAAUCUGCCCCUGACUCUGGGAUAACAGUUGGAAACAGCUGCUAAUACCGGAUAUGAGACGUGACCGCAUGGUCGACGUUUGGAAAGAAUUUCGGUCAGGGAUGAGCUCGCGGCCUAUCAGCUUGUUGGUGAGGUAAUGGCUCACCAAGGCGUCGACGGGUAGCCGGCCUGAGAGGGUGACCGGCCACACUGGGACUGAGACACGGCCCAGACUCCUACGGGAGGCAGCAGUGGGGAAUAUUGCACAAUGGGCGAAAGCCUGAUGCAGCAACGCCGCGUGAGGGACGACGGCCUUCGGGUUGUAAACCUCUUUUAGCAGGGAAGAAGCGAAAGUGACGGUACCUGCAGAAAAAGCGCCGGCUAACUACGUGCCAGCAGCCGCGGUAAUACGUAGGGCGCAAGCGUUAUCCGGAAUUAUUGGGCGUAAAGAGCUCGUAGGCGGUUUGUCGCGUCUGCUGUGAAAACUGGAGGCUCAACCUCCAGCCUGCAGUGGGUACGGGCAGACUAGAGUGCGGUAGGGGAGAUUGGAAUUCCUGGUGUAACGGUGGAAUGCGCAGAUAUCAGGAGGAACACCGAUGGCGAAGGCAGAUCUCUGGGCCGUAACUGACGCUGAGGAGCGAAAGGGUGGGGAGCAAACAGGCUUAGAUACCCUGGUAGUCCACCCCGUAAACGUUGGGAACUAGUUGUGGGGUCCAUUCCACGGAUUCCGUGACGCAGCUAACGCAUUAAGUUCCCCGCCUGGGGAGUACGGCCGCAAGGCUAAAACUCAAAGGAAUUGACGGGGACCCGCACAAGCGGCGGAGCAUGCGGAUUAAUUCGAUGCAACGCGAAGAACCUUACCAAGGCUUGACAUAUACGAGAACGGGCUAGAAAUAGUCAACUCUUUGGACACUCGUAAACAGGUGGUGCAUGGUUGUCGUCAGCUCGUGUCGUGAGAUGUUGGGUUAAGUCCCGCAACGAGCGCAACCCUCGUUCUAUGUUGCCAGCACGUAAUGGUGGGAACUCAUGGGAUACUGCCGGGGUCAACUCGGAGGAAGGUGGGGAUGACGUCAAAUCAUCAUGCCCCUUAUGUCUUGGGCUUCACGCAUGCUACAAUGGCCGGUACAAAGGGCUGCAAUACCGUAAGGUGGAGCGAAUCCCAAAAAGCCGGUCCCAGUUCGGAUUGAGGUCUGCAACUCGACCUCAUGAAGUCGGAGUCGCUAGUAAUCGCAGAUCAGCAACGCUGCGGUGAAUACGUUCCCGGGUCU